ACUCUUUGCAUAACCAAAGUUGACCCAGAAUUCUUUAUGUACCUGACAGCACCUCCACAGAGCUUGGAUUAGAGCAGCACAGUCUUGUUGAUUCCAGGUGAGCCUCAAACCCUUGACUUUGCUAUGUAUCUAAGGAUGACCUUAAACUUCUGAUCGUUUUGCCUCUCUCUCAUGGGCGUUGGGAUGAAAGUGGAUUCCUUGUGGAAAGCACUUUGGCAUGGAAACCUGGCGGAGGAGGAGCUGAUAACCGUAGUGGGGCUAAGCAGUUUGUAAGGACGUGUUUGCACUCCUUACUCCUGAUGUUAGCUCCCGAAACUUGUGCUGCAAAUCUUUGCCUGUGUUCUACCCACAAAAGAUGACAGAAAAAAAAAAAGAUGACAGCAUAAAAGGGAUUCAGGGAACAGUACUCCACAGCAUAGGACUGCUGUAGUCAGGAAAGUAAAAACAAACAAACAACUGAAGAGCUGCAUAAAAGACAGUGUGAAGAGAAAGCCUGCCACUGAGAUUCCCAAAACCCUCCCAAUCCAGAACUAAAAGAAAAAACUCCCUACAGAGAAUCAUCAUGCUCACCUUUGCAAUAUUCCACUUGAACAUACUGCAGAGGUAGUGGACUUCAUCUACUACCUAUAUCUUGACAGCUUGAGGAAGACUGGGUUUUCUUUGGAGCUAAAAAUCGUGUAAUAGAUGCUAUUGCUACUUCUGUUUUAAUAGCUGAAGACAUUGGAGUGGCAGACCAGGGCUAAUCUUCCACAGAACUCUCUGGACCUCAGGGGGACCUUGGCAAAAGGCAAAAUAAUGUGCUUUUGUUUCUGCAAACUGGUUAAGAUCCAUGUCUCCAUUUUGACUCACUUUCCAUCACCAUCCCUAUCUUACAGAGUGACACCCAUGAGGCUAUAGGCAUUUUGAGGGUCAGGCUAAAGGAAAGAUGAGGUGAGACUACAAUUCACUUGCAUUUAGUGGACUAUAUUUGUGGUUUUGGCAGUCACUAGAAGGUAUAAUUGAUGUUGUUAUUAUUAUUCAUUGAAUGGGAC